GCUAAUGUGUGAGAAUGUGAUUUUUUUGGGGGGGAGUAAUUGUGUGCGGUGCCUUUUUUGGAAAUAUGGUGGUUUUGCAUGGAAAACCAGUGCUUUGGGUUCGUGGAACUGUUUGUGGAAAUGUGGGUGGAUAUAUUGUCACUAUGUGUGUAGAAAAUUGUGUGGUAAUUUUCGGGUCAUUUGGGAACUUUUUUUGUGUGACUGUUGUGGGACCUGUGCAAACUGUGGUAAUUGGGUAAGUGUAUGAAAAUGUGGCUUUGUUGUGUCAUGGAAAUGGUGUGGGGAUUUGGAAACCUUUUAUUAAGGGCACGUGGCGGUCUGUGUGUGGAAAACUGGCCAUUUUGUGUGGUGAUUUGAGAACGCUUAAUGGAAAUGUGCUGGGUCGGUCCACAAGGGUCAUCUUACCCACUGCGGUGCGGUUAGCGUGAAACUGUCUAACGUGGGUUUCCCCUUUCUUUCAGGCUCCUCCUCAUGCACCCGUCCUUGGAGCCAGCGUGUCAGCGAGGAGCCGCUGCAUGACAGAAGCGGGAAUUGGGGCAGAAGCACCCCCCCCAGGAGCUGUUGUUUUUGCAAGGGGCACUGGGCACUCAGGCAGGUGUGCAGGGCAUGCACCGGUCCCUUGGAAACAGGCAAGGCACCACGAGCAACAGGCUACUUCUCGUGCACCUGUCCUUGGAGCCAGCAACUUCCAACAGCCAGCGAGGAGCUGCAGCGUGACAGAAGCGGGACUUGGGGCAGAAGGGCCCCCAGCAGCUGUCGUGUUUGCAAGGGUCGCUCGGGGCACUCAGACAAGCGUGCGGUCCUGUGGGGGUGCCUUGGAAACAGCCAAGGUACCACGAGUGACAGGUGAGUUCAUGAUUCUGCUUUGACACGCUCAGCGGACAGAACGCACCAGCAGUUGCCUCAGUUUCUGCCUGGACGCACAUCAUUCACGUGCCCUGCUCCAAUGGUAACACUUCCAGUGACUGCCGCUCUUCCCUCCAACUGCUGUUAGCACCCUCCAAAAGCAAUGGCCUGCCCCUUGGCUCGCAGGAUCCUGGGGACCCAGACCUCACAGGCUUUGUAUUCUCUCUCACUGUGCCUGGGUGAGGCGUUGAGCACUUUGAUCUCUGCAGGCUUCACCUUUUGUUAGCCACCCAGCCCCUGUGACCCUGUCCUACCUGACAGCCUCUGUCAGCCUCUCCUAGUCUCAUCCUUCCUCUGAAGGCCUCCUAUGAAAUCCCUUGUUCUGUCCCAGUCUGCUGCAGGCCUGCACCCCUGUUUCCCAGCUUCCUUCAGACAGUUGCAGGAGAGUGGGGAGAAAGCUUCCUUGCUUCCCGCCCCCCACCCUCCCAGCUCCUUGCUUCUCUCAGCUUGAAGCUGUUUCUCUGUUUUAGUUCCCCUUUUUCCCUCCACCUUUCCUUAUGCUACUACUGUCUUGUGUAUAUGCUGGACAUUGGUGUAAGCCAAGCAUGGCCCAGUAUUUGGGCCUGCAGGCCAGAUAGGCAGCUCUGGGGAGCUGCAGCGAGCUGGUCAGCACUGCCUACUCUGAAUAGCUUGCAGCCCAUAUGCCCAGUGCCUUCUCCCCACCACCGCCAAUAGUGCACAGUCCCAGCCCCGACUCUGGCCUGCCCCGAGCCCACUCCAAACUCUCCCUACCCAGGGUGGACCAGCUGAAACCUGCAUGCACACUCCUCAUCCUGGCCCUUCAUGCACUUUCUCUGGGGUGCCUGCCGAUGCUGAGGAGUGGCAGCAGCAUUGCAGAAGCUGCUGCUGCACGUCGGAGAAAUGUGGCCCCCCUCCUGUUCACCCUGGCCAAGCCCUUCUUGCUGCAGCUAUUAGGAGUCCCCGCCUGGGCUGCCCUGCGGCUCCUCACUGCCACAUCUAGGCUGCCCAGCAAGGCAGUGGUGGCAGCUUAGCAGAGCUGCAGGGCAGUUUGGACAUUGGCUUUGAGCAGCUGCAGCAAGAAGGUUCUGGCAGCUGAGAAGUGUGUCGGGCCACUGUUCUCUUGUGCUGAGUAGCAGCUUCUGCUUGGCUGCCGCUGCUAUUGCUCCUGCUGCUUACGAUGGGUAGAUGACUCGAGCAUGUGUAGGGCAGGCCAGGGUUGAGGCUGUGCUCGUGGGUUCUGGCUGGUCUGGAGAUGGUCCUGUCCGCCAAGUCCAAAGCAGGAGCAGGGCGGAUGGGGGCAGAGCUGCGUCAGAGCUAGAAAGGCUGUCCAGCUGCAGCCCUGCUGUGUGGGCAGGGGACGGCGGGUUGUGUCAUGGGCUGGACAACGCCUGUGUCAGGUAGGACUGAGGGCCUGCCCUGGCCCAAACAAAGUCCCUCCAUGGACCACAUCCAGACUCUGAUCUAUAUGUUGCCCACCCCGGCAUAAUCAGAUGCACGUUUUACACCCAGGAUGUCUCUGGAGAAGUAGAAGACAAGGCAAAGCAAGUUCCUCCAUAAAAUGUACACCAGAUUAUUGGGACGUUAGUAAUCAGGGACCUUUGGCCAGAGCAGCUACAUACAGCAAAGAAUACAUAGACUUAAUUAGUACCAGGGGGCGAGUGCCAGGGCCUCUUGCAAUCUGUCCUUCAGGUUUGAAGCCAGUUCCAGAAUCCCACAUCUUUGCCUUUGGAGAUUUUGUAGAGUUCAGGUUGAAAUUUCUGUACUCCAGCCCCCUUCUCUGAGAUAAGGAUUUCUUGGCCCAUUUUGUAGAGAACAGGGAAAGCCAGUUAGGGCUUGGGACCUUUAUUCUUACCUGAAGUCACCCCAUUAGCAUUGGAUGUCAUCAUUGGACUAUACAUCUCAGCUCCCCUGAAAUUUUUCUGACAUGCUACUCUUGAUGUGAUAGACUGAACUGUUUCUGGGUUCAGAGAAUGUGGAAGGAGGGGUAAUGUAGUGUAGCAAAAAAGAGGGGGGCGGGUUGUUCAGGACUCCCUAAGACUCUUCCCCAUGGACUAAUACAGACUCUUGGUACUUUAGCAGUCACAAAAUAUGGCUUUGUAUUGAGGGGCCUCAUUUGACACCUAAGUGCAGUAAAAGCUGUGUUAACCAAGAUUCACUAUCUGGAAUACACUAUUAACCAGAGUUCCUGGCUGGCUGCAGGAGGCGGGAGGGAAAGCUCGCACGUGGUGGCUGCCACCUGCCACCCUGUACUGCUGGUGCCACCAUCUCCCCUCCCCCCACUCUUCAGGGGUUUUCAAAAAAGAUGAAAACCCCUGUCUCAGAUAACCAGACAUUUUAGAUACCUGCUCCGCCCCCACCCUCCCCACCACCCCCACUCAUGCGGGUUAACAAAGCUUUUGCUGUAUAAUCAUUCCAGAUAAAAAUUCCCAGCUAUUGCUUCUGAGAGUAUGAAUGGGGGUAUGAAAUAUGAACAUUUUUUUACCUUUUAGAUACUAGCAGUGAGUUUAACCCAGGAUUUCCUUGGCUGAUCUCAGCAUAUUCAGUGCCACAUUUGUAGCCAUUGCUGCUUAGCACUGGAAAGACUGGCAGGUUAAAAGCUGGCUUUCCUUUAUACAGUUUCACCUGUGUACGAUGGAACCCUUUACAUAGAGGGUUUUUUACUCAGUGAUGCAGGCUAUUAAGAGCCGGGUAUACCAUUCAGUCUUUUGAGAGGCAGGACUACAGCACUCUUAUGGUUGGAACAAUUUGGCAAGCUUAGAGCCAGAAUUCUUGGAAAAUAGCAUUUUUUUUUUAACUUAUUACUAGGCAGGCUGGUUUUUUUAUUAAAAAAUAAAUUAAAAAAUCACAAGUUCUCUGAUUUAAACCCCCACCCAAACCUUCCUUUUUCUGUUAUUGCAAUGAAGUGUGUGUGUUGAGUAAUUGGGACUCCUACCAGUGCCUCAAUCACUAUCAUAAAAUAAAUUCUAAAUAGCUAUAAA